rnacentral:rRNA from 1 species
GUGAGGAAUUUUCCGCAAUGGGCGAAAGCCUGACGGAGCAAUGCCGCGUGAAGGAUGAAGGCCUAUGGGUUGUAAACUUCUUUUCUCAGAAAAGAAUUAUGACGGUAUCUGAGGAAUAAGCAUCGGCUAACUCUGUGCCAGCAGCCGCGGUAAGACAGAGGAUGCAGGCGUUAACCGGAAUGAUUGGGCGUAAAGCGUCUGUAGGUUGUUUAAAAAGUAUUCUGUCAAAGAUUAGGGCUUAACCCUAGAUAGGCAGAAUAAACUUUUAAGCUAGAAUUUGGUAGAGGCAGAGGGAAUUCCCGGUGGAGCGGUGAAAUGCGUAGAUAUCGGGAGGAACACCAAAGGCGAAGGCACUCUGCUGGGCCAAUACUAACACUGAGAGACGAAAGCGAGGGGAGCAAAUGGGAUUAGAUACCCUUGUAGUCC